ACGACGCCGCCGACGCGCCCUCCCUUGACGAUCAGGUCCUCCACGGCGACGGCGUUGAACAGCUUCACGUUGGGGCGCGCCAGGAGGCGGCUCAUGACGGUGGACGUGAAGAGCGCGGCGUGCUUGAUGACCACGUAGUCCUCGGCCUCGUCGUAGGCGACGCCCAGCUCGUCAAGGAACAGGUGCGCCGGCUUGCGCACCACCAUGGCCGAGAACAGCUGCCCGCCCAGCCACGCGCCGCCGCCCGGUGACACCGACUGCUCCACGAUGGCGAUGCUCACGGACGGGUCCUUGGAGAGCUCGUACGCGCAGGAGAGCCCCGCGGAGCCGGCGCCCACGAUGACCACGUCCGUGUCGGCGUAGGUGAUCAUGUCC
rnacentral:lncRNA from 1 species